rnacentral:rRNA from 1 species
AUUGAACGCUGGCGGCAGGCCUAACACAUGCAAGUCGAGCGAGCGGCGGACGGGUGAGUAAUGUCUGGGAAACUGCCUGUUGGAGGGGGCUAACUACUGGAAACGGUAGCUAAUCCCGCAUACCAUCAGAUCUGCCCAGGUGGGAUUAGCUAGUAGGUUGGGUAACGGCUCACCUAGGCGACGAUCCCUAGCUGGUCUGAGAGGAUGACCAGCCACACUGGAACUGAGACACGGGCCAGACUCCUACGGGAGGCAGCAGUGGGGAAUAUUGCACAAUGGGCGAAAGCCUGAUGCAGCCAUGCCGCGUGUGUGAAGAAGGCCUUCGGGUUGUAAAGCACUUUAAGCGGGGAGGCGUUACCCGCAGAAGAAGCACCGGCUAACUCCGUGCCAGCAGCCGCGGUAAUAC